rnacentral:rRNA from 1 species
GACGAACGCUGGCGGCGUGCUUAACACAUGCAAGUCGAACGGAAAGGCCCUUCGGGGUACUCGAGUGGCGAACGGGUGAGUAACACGUGGGUGAUCUGCCCUGCACUUUGGGAUAAGCCUGGGAAACUGGGUCUAAUACCGAAUAGGACCACGCGCUUCAUGGUGUGUGGUGGAAAGCUUUUGCGGUGUGGGAUGGGCCCGCGGCCUAUCAGCUUGUUGGUGGGGUAAUGGCCUACCAAGGCGACGACGGGUAGCCGGCCUGAGAGGGUGACCGGCCACACUGGGACUGAGAUACGGCCCAGACUCCUACGGGAGGCAGCAGUGGGGAAUAUUGCACAAUGGGCGCAAGCCUGAUGCAGCGACGCCGCGUGAGGGAUGACGGUCUUCGGGUUGUAAACCUCUUUCAAUAGGGACGAAGCGCAAGUGACGGUACCUAUAGAAGAAGCACCGGCCAACUACGUG